AGAAGGAGAAAAACAAAAGAAAGAAGAGAAAACAUAGAGAGAAGAUCGGACAAGCCUAGGGAAAUUUUGGUCCUAGAAAUCUUGUUCCAAAAAUUAUAAUUUCUUGGUAUUUCCAUUAAAUCAAAGGUCCCUUAUAACAUGGUAAAUUUAUUUUGGAAAAUAGAAGGCUUGUUUGGUUGAUUUGGAGCUUUGAUUAAGUGAAGAAGUUAGUAGGAAAAGAUUUUGAAGAAAACGGGAAUUGAAUUUGGACAAGUGUGAAAAGCCAAUAAGGUACCGAAGUUCGAUUUGCUGAUCCACCUGUUUAGGACAUUUGCUGCGUCGUUGACAGUGCUCCCUUGUUCGGAGCUUGUAUUUUGGUACUGACUUUAUCUCUGUAUAUUUGGAUAUGUUGGUCAGGGAUACGACGGGGCCCUGUCCCGUCAUAUGACUAUGCUAUCAUCUGUAGAGGUCUGUAGAUAGAGUUAUGUUGUGGGUUUUGUAUAUAUGGUUUAAGUUUUGUGUGUUUUGUGACGGUCUAUCAACCCUCGUUCCUAUAUCUACUUUUAUGAUAUAUUUAGCAAUUUCUACUAAUCACUACAUAUGUUUAUUCGAUUAAAAAGGCUAAUUUGGGAUUAGGGUACGUUUAGGUGCCCAACUAGGGCACCAAUCGCGGCCUACGGGGUUGGGUCAUGACAGAAA